rnacentral:rRNA from 1 species
GACGAACGCUGGCGGCGUGCUUAACACAUGCAAGUCGUACGGUAAGGCCCUUUCGGGGGUCCACGAGUGGCGAACGGGUGAGUAACACGUGAGUAACCUGCCCACAACUUUGGGAUAACGCUAGGAAACUGGUGCUAAUACUGGAUAUGUGCUCCUGCUGCAUGGUGGGGGUUGGAAAGCUCCGGCGGUUGUGGAUGGACUCGCGGCCUAUCAGCUUGUUGGUGGGGUAGUGGCCUACCAAGGCGGCGACGGGUAGCCGGCCUGAGAGGGUGACCGGCCACAUUGGGACUGAGAUACGGCCCAGACUCCUACGGGAGGCAGCAGUGGGGAAUAUUGCACAAUGGGCGCAAGCCUGAUGCAGCAACGCCGCGUGCGGGAUGACGGACUUCGGGUUGUAAACCGCUUUCAGCAGGGACGAAGCCUUUUGUGACGGUACCUGCAGAAGAAGCACCGGCUAACUACGUG